rnacentral:rRNA from 1 species
UACGGAGGGUGCGAGCGUUGUCCGGAAUCACUGGGCGUAAAGGGCGCGUAGGUGGCUUUUCAAGCGCGCGGUGAAAGCCCGGGGCUCAACCCCGGGUCGGCCGUGCGGACUGGGAGCUCGAGCACUGUAGGGGCGGGUGGAAUUCCGGGUGUAGCAGUGAAAUGCGUAGAGAUCGGGAGGAACAUCUGUGGCGAAGGCGACGUGCUGGGCUGAACCUGACGCUGAGAUGCGAAAGCGUGGGGAGCAAACGGG